UACGAAGGGGGCUAGCGUUGUUCGGAAUUACUGGACGUAAAGCGCACGCAGGCGGCUCGAUAAAUUAGAAGUGAAAGCCCCGGGCUUAACCUGGGAAUUGCUUUUAAGACUGUCGGGCUAGAAUCCAGAAGAGGGUAGUGGAAUUCCGAGUGUAGAGGUGAAAUUCGUAGAUAUUCGGAAGAACACCAGUGGCGAAGGCGACUACCUGGUCUGGCAUUGACGCUCAUGUGCGAAAGCGUGGGGAGCAAACAGG
rnacentral:rRNA from 1 species